rnacentral:lncRNA from 1 species
CCUCACGCGACCGCCCUAACGCAGAGUGCUAACGGCCACCACGCAGGUGCCACCGUGUGUAUGCAAAUGGACAAGAAAAUAAAGCAAGCUAUGACUGAAAACUAGUUUCUAAUACCAAAAUAUGAUGUCUGCUGACUAGGAUGUCAUAUAGCCUUCAGCCUCAUGGCAGCCUCUCCCUGAAGGGAAAUACUUCUGUCUAAGACUUCCUGGGAAGGCCCUAGUUAUAUGAAGAUAACACAAGAACAGAACCGUCAUGUUCAGAAGAGUCUUACCGAUGGGAAAAGGGAAGACCUAAUUCACUGAAUGUGUCCCUUGUCACCACCUAAAUAUGCUGGCUGCGUGCUGAUCUUACAAACCGACUCACAGUUCUUUCUGCAAAAGUAGGUACCAACCUCAGGAGUCCCAUUUCCUCAAAAGCAUCGCAUCCCAUUUAGUGAGACCCCAUGGAGUCAGGUGCCAAGGGCACUAACACCGUGUUACAGUUCCCUCCCUAGUCAUACACUUAACAGCAUGGAUACAUCACAAGAUCACUUGUCAGUCCUUCUCAGUUUAAUGGGUCUUUGUUUUCCCGAGAACAACGGGAACUAGAGGAGCAGAGGUCUUGCAUCAUCCAACUAGAAAUAGCUGCUGUUAAAUGCGGCUCUCUGUUGUUGUCCAAGUUUCGAAAUGAAGUUGAUACUUGAAGAGAAAGUUCAUCUAUUGGAUGGUAUCCGAUUUCCAGUGAUGUCAUCUCCUCUAGGUGAUUAAGGACCUAUUUGGUUUUCCAAUCACGCAAAUCAGCAGCUCUCAAAGGGAAUUUUAAUCAGCGGCAUUGCCCGCUGUGCUAAGAGCGUCCCUGGGAACGGGGCACUGCUGACCUUUCCUGCAUAGCAAAUUUAAAUCUGAAGCAUUGCGCUGCUCAGGAUUUCUGCCAUUUCCCCGCGGUGGUACGAGAUUAGAGAUGAACUUUCAGGCUCAGCGUACAUUACAAACACAGACGCAUAAGCUGUGAAGAGUCAGAAGCAGAGCGAUGUCUUUCCCUGGAUGCAAAGGUCACUGCUGUUUGUGCCCAUUCAUUUCAGCUGACCAUGUCUUCCUACGCUGACUGUCCCAGUUAGAGAGCUCCAAUUGGAAAACAGCUGUCCUUCUGAGUGUGCAGCGUGGUCCGCAUCAAGAUUGCCUACUAAAUUUAACUUUGUUCUCAUUGGUAUGUCAAAGGAAAAGUAGUUUCCCGUGUCACAAAACAAACCUAAAUCGCUUCAUUAUUUUUUUUAAUGUGGAAAAUAAUGUUAUAUUUAUCAGAAUAGUACUAUGUGCCCUUGUAUCACUGAGGAGUAAAAAGGAAAGAAAAUCCCUAGGUAAAUAUUUUCACAGAGAUUCCUGUUGUCAAGAUAAGCACUUUUAAGGCGCUAACUCGUGAGGCUGCUUGCUGG